rnacentral:rRNA from 1 species
GACGUAGGGGGCGAGCGUUGUCCGGAAUUACUGGGCGUAAAGGGCGUGUAGGCGGCCUGGCAAGUCAGUGGUGAAAAACCUGGGCUCAACCGAGGUAUUGCCAUUGAAACUGCCUGGCUUGAGGGUAGAAGAGGAGUGUGGAAUUCCCGGUGUAGCGGUGAAAUGCGUAGAGAUCGGGAGGAACACCAGUGGCGAAGGCGGCACUCUGGUCUAUACCUGACGCUGAGGCGCGAAAGCCAGGGGAG